GAGGGUAUAGCUCAAGUGGUAGAGUGCAUGCUUAGCAUGCACAAAGUCCUGGGUUCAAUUCCCGGUACCUUCU
rnacentral:tRNA from 1 species